rnacentral:ncRNA from 1 species
GAAAAGACAUUGAUAAGGAGUAGUACAUUUGGUUGCUUAUUCCAGAGAGUCGUUGGUUGGUGUGAAACGACAGAGCGAAAAAUGGAACUGGCCUUUGAGUUUUCCGUGGAACGCCUCUGGCAAGUAGACGGCAACGGUCGCCCCCGUUAUCGGGCAUAAGAGUGUGUUUCUGCGGAAACAAACUAGAGUGGUAACACGGAGUGUCCCUUCGUCUCUAAC